rnacentral:rRNA from 1 species
CGUGGAGCCGUAGGCAUGCUCGGGGAGGUCGGGGACGGUUGGAGAUGAGUAGAUCGACGCGGUGGCGCGCUGGUGAUGCAGAGGAGGGGAUCGGCUCGAUCCCGACGAUGUCGCGCUGUGUUGCCCGAAUCCAUGCCCGUGGCCGAUGAAGUCGAAGCCGACGAGUCUCCUGGACACAGUGGCGCCGCACGAGGUGGCCGGUGGAUGUGGUGGUCCACGACGACGAGCUCCGAUGCGUUGUGGCAACCUCAAAUCAGAGCAGGGAGAGGAUGGGGGAGUGAAGUGGAUCUGGGAGAGGCGAGUGGGAGAGGUGGCAGGGGGGAGACCGAGGCGUCGAGGUGCUGGCGGCCUUAUCCUCCUCCCGGCGUUGCCGGCGAGGCGGUCGGGCGGGAAC